rnacentral:rRNA from 1 species
ACGGCUCAGUAACACGUGGACAACCUACCCUGAGGAGGGGGAUAACCCCGGGAAACUGGGGAUAAUACCCCAUAGACUAUGGAUGCUGGAAUGCUCUGUAGUUAAAAGGCCCGCCGCCUCAGGAUGGGUCUGCGGCCGAUUAGGUUGUUGUUGGGGUAACGGCCCAACAAGCCUGUAAUCGGUACGGGUUGUGGGAGCAAGAGCCCGGAGAUGGAUUCUGAGACACGAAUCCAGGCCCUACGGGGCGCAGCAGGCGCGAAAACUUUACAAUGCGAGCAAUCGUGAUAAGGGAACUCCGAGUGCCCGUAAAAUCGGGCUGUCCGCCAGUGUAAAUAACUGGUGAAGAAAGGGCCGGGCAAGACCGGUGCCAGCCGCCGCGGUAAUACCGGCGGCUCGAGUGGUGGCCNCUAUUACUGGGCUUAAAGCGUUCGUAGCUGGUCUGUUAAGUCUCUGGGGAAAUCUUCCGGCUUAACCGGAAGGCGUCUCAGGGAUACUGACAGACUAGGGACCGGAAGAGGUGAGAGGUACUCCAGGGGUAGGAGUGAAAUCCUGUAAUCCUUGGGGGACCACCUGUGGCGAAGGCGUCUCACCAGGACGGCUCCGACAGUGAGGAACGAAAGCUGGGGGAGCAAACCGGAUUAGAUACCCGGGUAGUCCCAGCUGUAAACGAUGCGCGUUAGGUGUAUCGGUGACCACGAGUCACCGAGGUGCCGAAGAGAAAUCGUGAAACGCGCCGCCUGGGAAGUACGGUCGCAAGGCUGAAACUUAAAGGAAUUGGCGGGGGAGCAC